rnacentral:misc_RNA from 1 species
GAUGAAGAACGUAGCGAAAUGCGAUAAGUAGUGUGAAUUGCAGAAUUCCGUGAAUCAUCGAAUCUUUGAACGCACAUUGCGCCCGCCAGUAUUCUGGCGGGCAUGCCUGUUCGAGCGUCAUUUCAACCCUCAAGACCCCUUCGGGGGACUUGGUGUUGGGGACCGGCACAGGGGCCUGCCUGCUUGUCUUGCAGCGCCCUCGCCGCCCCCGAAAUGAAUUGGCGGCCUCGUCGCGGCCUCCCCUGCGUAGUAGCACAACCUCGCAACGGGAACGUGACGGCGGACACUGCCGUAAAACAACCCCAAUUUUAUUAGAGUUGACCUCGAAUCAGGUAGGAAUACCCGCUGAACUUAAGCAUAUCAAUAAGCGGAGGA